rnacentral:rRNA from 1 species
UACGUAGGGCGCAAGCGUUGUCCGGAAUUAUUGGGCGUAAAGAGCUCGUAGGUGGUUUGUUACGUCUGCUGUGAAAACCUAGGGCUUAACCCUGGGCCUGCAGUGGAUACGGGCAGACUAGAGGUAGGUAGGGGAGAAUGGAAUUCCCGGUGUAGCGGUGGAAUGCGCAGAUAUCAGGAGGAACACCGAUGGCGAAGGCAGAUCUCUGGGCCGUAACUGACGCUGAGGAGCGAAAGCAUGGGGAGCGAACAGG